UCAGAGGCAGCUCUCUCUAUCGUGCACGUAUGCCUGAGGAGCGCGGUGUUCGCUGACGAUCCGGGGAACGGAAACAAAGAAAAUAAUCUUCUAGAUGAAUUUUAUCGAUGGAUUGAUGGUAAAGAAAAGGAUUUAAAGGGGACGUGCUGUACCUGCACCGUUCUGGAAUUUUCUGAGUUUAACGAUCUCCUUGGUCAGGUUUUUAUUCCUUGUUGUUCUGUCCUUUUCCAAAUUCGAUUGCUGUCCUCUGUCUGAUGUGACGAGAUGUUCCGGUACCUGCAUUCUGGAUUUGUCCCGGCCUUCCGGUGGUUCUGAGGAGGGUUUGGACUGGCGAGCCUCCCUUGAGUCUG